rnacentral:rRNA from 1 species
ACUGAUCAGCCAUGCCGCGUGCAGGAUGACGGCCCUAUGGGUUGUAAACUGCUUUUAUACGGGAAGAAACGCGCCCACGUGUGGGCGUUUGACGGUACCGUAAGAAUAAGGACCGGCUAACUCCGUGCCAGCAGCCGCGGUAAUACGGAGGGUCCGAGCGUUAUCCGGAAUCAUUGGGUUUAAAGGGUCCGUAGGCGGGCCUGUAAGUCAGGGGUGAAAGUUUGUGGCUCAACCAUAAAAUUGCCUUUGAUACUGCAGGUCUUGAGUCAUGGUGGGGUUGCCGGAACAUGUGGUGUAGCGGUGAAAUGCAUAGAUAUCACAUAGAACACCGAUCGCGAAGGCAGGUGACCAACCAUGUACUGACGCUGAUGGACGAAAGCGUGGGUAGCGAACGGGAUUAGAUACCCCGGUAGUC